rfam:Thecamonas trahens ATCC 50062 unplaced genomic scaffold supercont1.62, whole genome shotgun sequence.
GCAAGAGUUCCCGAGUGGUCAAAGGGGCAUGUUUCAAGGUCAUGUGCGUUUCGCUUCGAGGGUUCGAAUCCCUCCUCUUGCA